UACGUAGGGCGCAAGCGUUAUCCGGAAUUAUUGGGCGUAAAGAGCUCGUAGGCGGUUUGUCGCGUCUGCCGUGAAAGUCCGGGGCUCAACUCCGGAUCUGCGGUGGGUACGGGCAGACUAGAGUGCGGUAGGGGAGACUGGAAUUCCUGGUGUAGCGGUGAAAUGCGCAGAUAUCAGGAGGAACACCAACGGCGAAGGCAGCACUCUGGGCCGGUACUGACGCUGAGGAGCGAAAGCGUGGGGAGCAAACAGG
rnacentral:rRNA from 1 species